AUUAGUCAAUGCUCGCAAGAGUGAACUAGCUAACUGAAAUCAAAGGUGUGUCACUUUUGAUAAGGUAAAGGAAAAGAAAUGAUAUUACUUUACUAUUAGUGUCGUCCAAGUACUCGUGCCAGAAGACUCGGUAAGGCGAGAGACGCAAACGUUAGUCGUCUUAAUCAGGCGUAAAGGGUUUGUAGGCGGCUUUAAGAAUGGAUUCUUUCUAAAUGACAUUACUCUAAUUUUAGAGAAACGUUCAGCUUUUAAGCUGGAAAGAAAGGAGAAAUCAAUUAAAGCUAGAAUCAAAUAGAGGUCAAAUUAAAUAAUACUUGGUGUAAGAUUGGUAUCUUUAAAAACCAAGCGGAAUACUAACGGCGAAGGCUUUUUUCCAUUAAUGAUUGACGCUGAGAAACUAAGGUGAGGACAGAAAAAAGGAUUAGAGACCCUCGUAUUCCUCACUGUCAACGAUGAAUGGUAGUUACUAGAUAUUAUUGAUAUAUACUAUUUUUAUAUAAUCAUUUAACCAAAUCUAGAGGCGAUGUUAACACGAAAACCAUUCCGCCUUGUGAGUACGACUGCAAAGUUGAAAACAAAAAAAUUAGUCGGUUUCGGAGCAAACGAAGUGAAGCAUGUUAUUU
rnacentral:rRNA from 1 species